rnacentral:tRNA from 2 species
CGGGCAGUGGCGCAGCUUGGUAGCGCGCUUCGUUCGGGACGAAGAGGUCGUGGGUUCAAAUCCCGCCUGCCCGACCA